rnacentral:rRNA from 1 species
AUUGAACGCUGGCGGCAGGCCUAACACAUGCAAGUCGAGCGGAUGAAGGGAGCUUGCUCCCUGAUUUAGCGGCGGACGGGUGAGUAAUGCCUAGGAAUCUGCCUGGUAGUGGGGGAUAACGUUCCGAAAGGAACGAUAAUACCGCAUACGUCCUACGGGAGAAAGCAGGGGACCUUCGGUCCUUGCGCUAUCAGAUGCGCCUAGGUCGGAUUAGCUAGUUUGUGAGGUAAUGGCUUACCAAGGCGACGAUCCGUAACUGGUCUGAGAGGAUGAUCAGUCACACUGGAACUGAGACACUGUCCACACUCCUACGGGAGGCAGCAGUGGGGAAGAUUGGACAAUGGGCGAAAGCCUGAUCCAGCCAUGCCGCGUGUGUGAAGAAGGUCUUCGGAUUGUAAAGCACUUUAAGUUGGGAGGAAGGGCAGUAAGCUAAUACCUUGCUGUUUUGACGUUACUGACAGAAUAAGCACCGGCUAACUUCGUGCCAGCAGCCGCCGUAACAC